rnacentral:lncRNA from 1 species
CUGUGAAAGGCCCACAGCACCAGGCACAGCAACCCUGGUGAGGGCCUGAGCACUGUCAGCAGCCUCCUGAGUGAGUGUGGAAGCCACUCCUCUGGAAAUGGGACUUCAGGCCCAGCUGACCCCCGAGUGUGGCCUGGUAAGAGAUGCUGAGCCAGAGGACCCGGCUGGCCUGCAGAAAUGACAUGAUACGUCUUUGCUGUUGACUCCUGGCUGAUGUCAUCUCUAAAUAUGCAGCUUUAAUUGCUCCUCUCUACAGCAGCAAGGGAAAAGGAGAUCUUCGUUUCUUGUUUUCAGCACCAUUGAAACUGCGCUGCUGAUUCAGCCUGAAUUCCCGUCUUGCAAGCUCCACAGAAGCAUCCCUUGCCGGCAAGAAGGCAAAGCAACGCUUCCCGG